rnacentral:rRNA from 1 species
UCCGUAGGUGAACCUGCGGAAGGAUCAUUAGUGAAUAUAGGACGUCCAACUUAACUUGGAGUCCGAACUCUCACUUUCUAACCCUGUGCACUUGUUUGGGAUAGUAACUCUCGCAAGAGAGCGAACUCCUAUUCACUUAUAAACACAAAGUCUAUGAAUGUGUUAAAUUUUAUAACAAAAUAAAACUUUCAACAACGGAUCUCUUGGCUCUCGCAUCGAUGAAGAACGCAGCGAAAUGCGAUAAGUAAUGUGAAUUGCAGAAUUCAGUGAAUCAUCGAAUCUUUGAACGCACCUUGCGCUCCAUGGUAUUCCGUGGAGCAUGCCUGUUUGAGUGUCAUGAAUACUUCAACCCUCCUCUUUCUUAAUGAUUGAAGAGGUGUUUGGUUUCUGAGCGCUGCUGGCCUUUACGGUCUAGCUCGUUCGUAAUGCAUUAGCAUCCGCAAUCGAACUUCGGAUUGACUUGGCGUAAUAGACUAUUCGCUGAGGAAUUCUAGUCUUCGGAUUAGAGCCGGGUUGGGUUAAAGGAAGCUUCUAAUCAGAAUGUCUACAUUUUAAGAUUAGAUCUCAAAUCAGGUAGGACUACCCGCUGAACUUAAGCAUAUCAAUAAGCGGAGGA